rnacentral:lncRNA from 12 species
GAAGCUUUGAAUUAUGUAUUUAUGUAUAAAAUUAUUUUAUUUUUAUUUUUUUCCAGACCAGUAGGUGGCGGACAUGCACCUUUAACGUUGGUUUGCCAAUCUCGAGAAAAGAAGAAGAAGAAGAACUAGCAGCGCGCCGGAAAACUACAAUUCCCACAAUCCGCUAUUCACAGGAAGUAAUGUAUUCGUAGGCUUUUCGUCUUGUAAUCUUCAUAUUUUGUAGUCCCUGUUCGGCAAGAAAGUAAAAGCAGCCCGCUAUGGAGAGAUGCAGGUUGGACGUGUCUGCACAUGUGUUGUUAUGAUUCAGGUACGAAGGAUGUGCAAAAUCACCAAAGUCACCAAGUCAAAACCAUGAAUAAAACAGCAAAGUCUACUUGUGAUUCUGACCGACAGAGUAAAAAAGUCAAAACGAGUCAUGGUUCGACACAGGGCACUCAAGGUCAGAAAGCAGAUGUGAAGCGCUGGGCAGCUGGAAAAGAUGCUUGUUCUCCUGGACCUGAGAGAAGCUCUGAGUCUUUCCACACUAUGCAAAAACGUGCUCCGAAGGAGGCCAGAUCUACUCAUAGUGACAGUCACUCAUCCCAGCAGCAUCUGAUGAAGACGCCGUCUGCUGAAGAUGAAAAAGGGUAUUGUUCCUGUCAAUUCAUCUCUUUCUGUGCAUGCAGUAUGGCUUUAGAUUGUCAGUAGGUGCUUUUGGGUUGUGCCACUUUUUAUUUAAGUGUUUUUCAAGGCGAAGAGAAAGAAAAAUGAAAUAAAAUAAAUGUAAUUAUAAUUCUGGGUGUCUGGAUGUGAAACUGAGGCUAAACUAGGUACAUCAUGUCAAGGGUUAACACAAGUAAUUUUUGAAUACAUUUACAUUUUAUUUGCAUUUCAGAUUUUCCUUUUGGAUUUCACAAUCACUUUUAGUGACAUGCUUCACUCCGCACCAACCAUUUUGGGAAGAUGGCAGUUUUAAUAAUUAAUAGCUUCUCUUUAGUCUAUUUUUCAGUUUUAAUUUAGUAGUUUUAUACAAUGACAAUUCACUAUUAUGAUAUCCAUUUCAUUUUUUACCAAAUUAUAUUUUUCUGGAUUCCAUUUUAAUGGUUAAAUUUGUAAUUAAUUGAAAAUUUCUAAUUCUGUUUAUUUAUUUAUUUUUUUUCUUUUCAAAAUUCUGUUUUCGUUAUAAUAUUUCUGGACUCCAAACUGUAAUAACCAAAAAGCAUGUCUAUUCGGCUGAAUUCAUACAUAAAUGUUCUAUUUUUUUUUUUUUUUUUUUUAACAAUAAUAUGACCCUGUGACAGGUUUUAUUUUUUCAGAAAUGCAAAUGCUGAAACAAGCCUCACAGCCUUGAGUUUGUAUUAAAUGGAAUGGCACCAUUUAGUCACACAGAGGCACUCGGUACAUGCAGACUUCAUAUUCAAAUAGCACUCUUUUUGUGCUUCAUGCUGUUCCACACACUAGUAGACACUAGUCCAUAUCACAUUUUGAUUCAUUGUACAGCCCUACUUUUGAUUUAUUCAUCCAAAAUUUGCCCAAUUCCAUGACAUUCCAUGUUAAAUUUCAUUUUUAUGACUGGAUCCCACAAUUCUGUCUGCAUUUUCUGCAUCACAGAAAUCAUAGGUCCCUAUGUAUGAUACACAUAUUUCGACCAAGUGAAGUAUGCUUUGAUAUAAAUUAAUUUGACUUGCUAUGGAGAAAAUGUCACUUGACAAGCAACAACAGUGUUUAGCAUAAAAAUAAAAAUAAAAAUCACUUUUCUCAUGUGCAUCUCUCAAUCACAGGCUGCUUUAUGUGAUGGGCCAUUUCUAAAUAUAUGGUUACGUUACAAAUAUUAUGCACUGUUUACUAGAUUAAGGAAGUGACACAACAUACUAUGCACCAUUUUGCAAUGAGUCUUUGUUGUUUCAUAGUGAUGUGGACCUGUACAGAGGUGAAGAGGAAAUUCAAAAAGAGCUGCAAGACAAGCAGCAGUCAGAGUCAGGUAGCGCUCAGUUUUUGAAGAAUGUUGAGUGUGUAUUGAAAUGUUGUAAGAGAUUUCUGUGAGGU